rnacentral:misc_RNA from 1 species
GUUGGCCCAAGGCCAUUGUACAGGUUUGUUUCUACUAAAAGAAGUGUUGCCUUUUGUGUUUAUGUAUAAGUUUUGGUCAUGCCAUAACUUGGUGGUUUGGAUAAUCUUAUUAGUUUGAGGAUUUUCAAAUGAAGUGGGCGUUUGAAACUCUGCAAAGAUAUCGUAAAAGGUUUUGCAUGUUUAAUGAUGAUAUACAGGUGAGUACAGCUGUGAUAUUUUGCUAGAUUACAUGUAUUGUAAUGCAGUGGGCCACAAUCUAUCGUGAGGGCCUCUGCGGUUAUGGCAGUUGUGCUUACUUUGUGAUG